CACUCAAGUGAAGUAAAAUUUUUAAAAAACUAUUCAAAUUUAUAUAUUCAAAGAGAGGAACUCUGGAAAGAGGCAGCAUGAAGUCGUGUUGUAUGUAAGAAAGUGGUGAGGAGCCUUCCAUUUAUCGAAAAUAAAGUAUUUUGAGGGAAUACAAUGUUUUUCUAAGCAAUCAAUCAAAUUAUAUUAAGCUGCAUUAACUUUCAGAUCGAUCUUGUUGGCAUCAGGGGCUGAGAAGGUGACUUUCAGCCAUUGGCAUGAAGCUCAGAAGGAUGGCAAUUUUAUAAAGUUUAGACUGCUACCUCACCUCACCGCAUCCCUUUGGCAAAUACUGGAAUCAUUCAAAAUUUAUGUUCCAAGGGUCAGGGUUGUGCCCCAGGAAGAGUAUACUCAAGGCUCCUACCGUCAGUACCAAUCCCAGAUCUAUGUAAGAGGGGCCUUGACCCUGAGCCCUGUGCUGUACUCAGGGCUGUACUCAGAUCCUCCUCAAGCCUCCAGGUCUCCUUUCUAGCCCCUGGCCCUGGAAUUUUCUGCCCAAGAGCCCUGGGCUUUCCAUCCACGUCCUAGGCAGGCCUCCUCCUUUGGUCUGCCUUCAGGGGUUAGACCACAGCUCCAGUGUGGGUACCGCUAGAGCCAAGGGGCCGCUGGGGAGGGAAAGCUAGCUCGGAUGUGUGGCUGUAAGGUGGUCCACAGUCAUGUGUGCAAGGGCAGAGCCGGCGGUGGGAAAACAUGGGCAGCCCUUGAGUUAGGGGCCAAUUCUCCGGAGCCCAGUAAUUGAAGGAGUUCAAUAAUUCUAAAUUAAAACAUAACCUACUAAGGCACUAUGAAGAACAGAAUAUACUUUCUUUAACAGUUUACUAGCUUGAGUUAUAUGUUUAAAUAUUUAGACAAAUGGUAUGUGGGCCUCCAUUAGUAUUCUUGCCAUUCUUGCCCAAGACCUCACAAAUGUUAGAGGUAGGUCAGCCACUCACAGUGACUUAGGUCCCACCCCAUUAUAUGAAACUUGAACCUUCUUGUUCCUAUUAUUGAAUUCCAUGAGUGCCAUCUAUGAAGAAUGGUUCAUUUCAGCUAGCAAGGUAAACUUGGAGAUCAGCCCUGGUAAAGUCACCGCAGCUCGUUUGUUCACAACCAGCACCUGCCUUAGGAAUAAUAGGAGAAGUUUCAAGUGGAAUACAAACUCUUCAAUGAAUGGAUUCAUCUCUGAGCCAAAGGAUAAACACAACAUGAACCCAAGGAGGAAAAGGCUUUAGGUCUCACAGACAAGGGAGCAAUGGCUUCAUGUUCCAAUGUGAAGAAAGUCAAAACCCAGAAUGCUUUUGGUUCAUCUGGAAAGAUUCCAAUGGCAAUUUUAACAGCUCUUCAUCUCACUCCAUAUUUGUUCGUGGAAUAUAAUGUCAGUCAAGUUUACAUAUGUAAAUUCAAAUUUUAAUGUAGUACUAGCUUCAGUCAGUUUAAUGUAGGACUAGCUCUAGUCUCCCAGACUCCCAUAUUUGCAUCCUAGCUUUACCAUUUACUACCUGGCCCUGAACAAGUUACUUAACUAGUCGUGUUGUGAAAAUUACGUGCAGCAGUGUACCGGGGUCGACUCGUACCAUCUUGACCAAGCCAAUUGUUAAGUAAAUGUUCAGGAUUUUUGCAAGGCAGUUGUUAAGCCACUAGGUAGCUUGAAAUUAGCCAUGGCGGGAGUGUUUCUGCCACAAGAUCAGCAAACGCUAGAAAUCAGGCUCUUUCCCCCCCUGGAGAGGCAUUUACCAGCACAGCUCUGAUUACAUUCAAUAAACAUUUAAAAGGCUUAGCACUGUACACAGCGCAAAAUAAGAAGUAGAAUUAAGUUAAAUAUUUUAAAUUGUUUACUGAGCUCUUAAUAUGUAUCUAUGUCUAUUUUAGGCCCUGUAUAUAUACUACUAGAAGAGGGUAGAUUGUGCACAUCUGCUAAGAGAGAGAACAACUUAGAUUGUUUAGAGGACAGGGCAAGGGGAGCUGUGUUGUUGCAGCAUCAAAACUGGAGCAGUGGUUCCUGCGACUGUCUCCAUCUCUAUCAGGCUUCUUUACUCAUCUUUAUUUCUCCCAGUUUUUGCACAAUUCCUGGCAGAAUGGAUGUUUAUUGGCUAAAUGAUUGAAUAAAUCAGUUUGAUCAUGCAGUAAUAAAAUAAUGUGUAUGAUUGGGUAUAUAUCACAUAAAAAGUGAUUUUUAAAGGAUUUAACUGACUGGUUGAAUCAAGCUAUUGUGGGUAAUCUUGGCCAAAUACCCAUUAUCCUUUCCUUUCCCUCUAAGCGUGUACCUUUAACAAUAAAACACAUCACACCUAAUUAUAAAACACUAAAUAAAAUACCAUAAUUGCACAGUG